rnacentral:rRNA from 1 species
GAGUUUGAUCUUGGCUCAGAUUGAACGCUGGCGGCAUGCCUUACACAUGCAAGUCGAACGACGCUAGGGGCAACUCUAGCGAGUGGCGAACGGGUGAGUAAUACAUCGGAACGUGUCCUGUCGUGGGGGAUAACCAGUCGAAAGACUGGCUAAUACCGCAUGACCUCGCAAGAGAAAAGCGGAGGACCGCAAGGCUUCGCGCGAUUGGAGCGGCCGAUGUCGGAUUAGCUAGUUGGCGGGGUAAUGGCCCUCCAAGGCGACGAUCCGUAGCUGGUUUGAGAGAACGACCAGCCACACUGGGACUGAGACACGGCCCAGACUCCUACGGGAGGCAGCAGUGGGGAAUUUUGGACAAUGGGGGCAACCCUGAUCCAGCCAUGCCGCGUGUGUGAAGAAGGCCUUCGGUUGUAAG